rnacentral:lncRNA from 1 species
CGCGGCCGGGUACGUGACCAAGUGCUCCGGCGAGGGCAUCUACUUCGCGGCGAAGAGCGGGCGGAUGGCGGCGGAGGCGAUCGUGGCCGGGUCGGCGAACGGGACGCGCAUGGUGGAGGAGAGCGACCUGCGCAAGUACCUGGCGGAGUUCGACCGCCUCUACUGGCCGACCUACAAGGUGCUCGACAUCCUGCAGAAGGUGUUCUACCGCUCCAACGCGGCGCGCGAGGCCUUCGUGGAGAUGUGCGCCGACGACUACGUCCAGAAAAUGACCUUCGACAGCUACCUCUACAAGCGCGUCGUGCCGGGCAACCCGCUCGACGACAUCAAGCUCGCCGUCAACACCAUCGGCAGCCUCGUCAGGGCCACCGCGCUGCGCAGGGAGAUGGAGAAGGUCACCUUGUGAGCCGCCGGCUGCGACGUCGUCGAGCUGCCGUUCACUUCAGGUGUUCGAGUCGCAGCUCAUCGAUCGGUGUAUUAGUAGAGGUUCGCGGCUGAUCAUGCAAGCGAGUUAAUUUAGGCCAGCGUGCGUAGGCACGGAGAGUUAAAAGACAGAGGGGUGGUGCAGGU